rnacentral:tRNA from 1 species
UAAAUAUUAGUGUUUAUGCACUUAGAACUUUGAAUUCUACAGCAAUAGAGUUUCUAUUAUAUUUAA